GGCAGAUACUUGUAGUUGUCCUCAAAUUUCAUACUCUCAUUUUUCUUUAUUAAUAUAACCACACAUUUUUAACUGAGCUCAUUGAUCAUCAUAACAGAGUCUAUUGAAAGUCCUCAGCAGGCGGUGUGACGAUGUGACCAGCUCUGGCCAAGGAGCUGUAGGCAGAAGUGUCUUGCAGCAGCUCCUGUAAAUCUUAAAAGACAGCUGGUGCGUGUCUUUUUUCCUUUUUUUUUCCCUUCCCCCUUCCUGCUGCGCUGAAUAUGGAUAUGGUGAGUGAAUCUAGAGCAGCCAUUUGGAGGUAUGAAGAGAUCUUGGAAAUAGAGGCCAUGUGUGUUGAAACAAGACCGAACAACUCCAAGUUCCUGAAGACUUCAUUUCACCAACCCAGAACCUCCUUGAUCAUCACAGUGGUCGAACCAUUUUACAUUUUCACCAGCAAUGAAGGAGGGUUCCUGUUGCUCUACCAUUUGGUACUGUCAGCGUUUUGGAUAUUAGCCGUCCUAAUAGCCUUUGCAUGGAUGAUUGUCUGUCCUCUGUUGGGCCCCUUCUGAAGAGUUGGAGUUGGACUCUGAAUACCUCAAGAGUGGGAGAUUGGUCUUGCCAAUCAGAGAAGCUCCAGGGCUAGCCUAGUGCCUGGCACAUGCUUUAUACAAUUAUUCCCAAAUCUUCUAAACUGACAGUGAGGGAGAGUAAUUUGAAAGGACUGCUCAACUCAACGUCAUUUGAAGAUUUGCACCACAGCUGCAUUUUUCCAAUUUCCUGGCAUCUAUUCUGCUCUCCUGGACUUUUCAAAAACAAUUGUAAGUGGAUGAAUAAAUAUAAUAACUGA
rnacentral:lncRNA from 1 species